rnacentral:lncRNA from 1 species
UACAGCCCUCAGGAGGAGCCUCCUUCCAACCCCAUUGCAGGGUCAACAUUUCCUUCAGGAGAAGCCUCAGGAGAAGCCUCAGGAGAAGCCUCAGGAGAAGCCUCAUUCCAUCUCCUUCAGGAGGAGCCUCCUUCCACCCCCAUCCCAAGGUCAAUAUCUCCUACAGCCCUGAUAAACACAGGAGUAUUUUCUAUUCCUUUCUUAUUCCAGAAGAUUCUGGCCUCCAGGAAGAUUCCCUGGCUUGUUUUAUACUCAGCAGUGGCUCCAACAUCCACAGUCAAUCUCUACAGCCCUCAGGAGAAGCCUCCUUCCAUGGCCUUCAGGAGGAGCCUCCUUCCAUCCCCAUCCCAAGGUCAAUAUCUCCCACAUCCCUGAUAAACACAGGAGUAUUUUCUAUUCCUUUCCUAUUCCAGAAGUUUCUGGCCUCCAGGAAGAUUCCCUGGCUUGUUUUAUCCUCAGCAGUGGCUCCAACAUCCACAGUCAAUCUCUACAGCCCUCAGGAGAACCCUCCUUCCAUCCCCAUUGCAGGGUCAACAUUUCCUUCAGGAGGAGCCUCCUUCCAUCCCCAUUCCAGGGUCAGCAUCUCCUACAUCCCUGAUAAACACAGGAGACUUUCGUAUUCCUUUCUUAUUCCAGAAAAUUCUGGCCUCCAGGAAGAUUCCCUGAUUUGUUUUAUCCUCAGCAGUGGCUCCAACAUCCACAUUCAAUCUCUACAGCCCUCAGGAGGAGCCUUCUUCUACCCCAUUCCAGCAUCAACAUCUCCUCAGGAGAAGCCUCAGGAGAAGCCUCCUUCCAUGGCCUUCAGGAGAAACCUCCUUCCAUCCCCAUUCCAGGGUCAAUAUCUCCUACAUCCCUGAUAAACACAGGAGUAUUUUCUAUUCCUUUCCUAUUCCAGAAGAUUCUGGACCCCAGGAAGAUUCCCUGGUUUGUUUUAUCCUCAGCA